AGGAGAGGCUAUUCUGCCAUCCCAGGUAGAGGGCAUGAUACUGGAGGCUGAGGAGGAGAGGAGAAGAAGAGGAGAGGAGGAGAGGAGGGGAGGAGAGCUCUGGUGCCAUUCCAGGUAGAGGGCAGGACGCUGGAGGCUGAGGAGGAGAGGAGAGGAGGAGAGCUCUGGGGCCAUCCCAGGUAGAGGGCAGGACGCUGGAGGCUGAGGAGGAGAGGAGAGCAGGAGAGCUCUGGGGCCAUCCCAGGUAGAGGGCAGGAUACUGGAGGCUGAGGAGAUGCAAGGGCUGUUCCACUGGUUGUCAUAAGGUGUAUGCACCAAUUUGUAAGUCGCUCUGGAUAAGAGCGUCUGCUAAAUGACUUAAAUGUAAAUGUAAUGUAAAUGAGGAGAGGAGACUGGGGGAGAGGAGGAGAGGGAGAGGAGAGGAGAGGAGAAGAGGAGGAGAGCUCUGGUGCUAUACCAGGUAGAGGGCAGGAUACUGGAGGCUGAGGAGGAGAGGAGGAGAGCUCUGCUGCUAUCCCAGGUAGAGGGCAGGAUACUGGAUGCUGAGGAGGAGAGGAGGAGACGAGAGGAGGAGAGCUCUGCUGCCAUCCCAGGUAGAGGGCAGGAUACUGGAUGCUUGCAUGAAGCAGGAAUAUGGUGCAAUGCUGUGUCCCAAAACGAGCUGGACCCCCUGCCUGCUUCUCUAUCUGUGGUGUCAUUUACUGUAUGAAGCUUUGGUCUGCAGGUCACGGAGACACUCAUCCCAUAAUAGAGGUCAUGGAGACACUCAUCCCAUAAUAGAGGUCAUGGAGACACUCAUCCCAUAAUAGAGGUCAUGGAGACACUCAUCCCAUAAUAGAGGUCAUAGACAUGUAAAUGUCCCCCAGCCUGUCUAUCCCAUAAUAGAGGUCAUGGAGACACUCAUCCCAUAAUAGAGGUCAUAGACAUGUAAAUGUU